rnacentral:rRNA from 1 species
CCUACGGGAGACAGCAGUGAGGAAUAUUGGUCAAUGGGCGGGAGCCUGAACCAGCCAAGUCGCGUGAGGGAAGACGGUCCUAUGGAUUGUAAACCUCUUUAGGAGGGGAGCAAUGCCGGGCACGCGUGCCCUGAGGGAGAGUCCCCGCAGAAUAAGCAUCGGCUAACUCCGUGCCAGCAGCCGCGGUAAUACGGAGGAUGCGAGCUUAAUCCGGAUUUAUUGGGUUAAAAGGGUGCGUAGGCGGAUUUUUAAGUCAGCGGUAAAAUGUCCGGGCUAAACCUGGGCCGGCAGUUGAAACUGGGGAUCUUGAGUGUGCGAGAAGUAUGCGGAAUGCGUGGUGUAGCGGUGAAAUGCUUAGAUAUCACGCAGAACCCCGAUUGCGAAGGCAGCAUACCGGAGCACGACUGACGCUGAGGCACGAAAGCGUGGGGAUCGAACAGGAUUAGAUACCCUUGUAGUC